rnacentral:lncRNA from 1 species
GGAAUUCAAUUAAGUUAUUUAAAUUUAGAGUUAAUAAAUAAAAAAAUAAAAUAAAAUAAAAAAAUAAAUUAACAAUAAGUAAUCACAAUUAAAUAAUCUAGGAGAAUAAAGGAGAAGAUGAAUUUAGGCCCUUUUUGGGCCAAAUUCGUUGCUGAUUUGGGCUUCUUAGAUCAAUUCCCGUUUUUGUAUACAUCUGAUGUAUAUCAGUGUAUAUCGGAUGUAUACAACCCAUUUUUCUGCAAUCCAAGACCUGUUUCAGCUUCCACUUUCUUCGGACAUUGACGGGGCUGACUCGAGGGGAAUUCAAUUCAACGAAAUGCUGGGAUGGAGUCCGAAAUAGACUCGAACGAAUGUCACAUGUAUCAAAAUAAGGGUAAAGAAAUUAAUGGAGGGUUUUGAACAAUUCACAUAUGCAAUUAAGUCUUCAACUAGAAAUAAUCAUGAUAUAGCUAAUUCAAGAUAUCUAUAGUUUACUACAAGCGUAAAAAAUAUAAAAAAAUAAUAAUAAGCAUAUGAAGUAUCACUAAUGCCCACCACAUGAUAUACUACAUAUGACUUCCAAUGAUUUCAUGUUGACAAAUUAGCAAACAACCACAUACUUAGCCAUAUGUAGAAUAGACAGAAGGAAAUUACUCAUGCUAUAAUUGUAAGCCAUACAAAACCAGAAAAGUUCAUAUGAUUAUAUAAAAAGAAAAAAAAAACAGAGAGCGGGAAAUAUUGCCAAAAAUGCAAAGCUAAAGUUUUGUAGAGGUUGAUCAUAUACUUAGCUAAGCCAAUCUUGAAUAGAUUUAGACCAUAACAAAAGCAUACUAAUACCACAAAAUAAAAAGACAUAGUUUUUUUUACAAAAAAAUAAUUAAAAAAAAAAAAAAAAAAAUUUCAAGACCAUGAGCAUAUAAAUCAUAGACUAGACGAGAAUAGAGAUUAGAUUAGAUUAAUCUAGUGUUGUCAAGAGCUUACGACAAUAAAUCAUUUUUAAAAGCCAAAAGUUGAAAUGUCAUGAUGAAUUAGUAACCAACCUUAUGACAAGGUCAAGGAUUUCGGACAAGCUCAACAUACAACAAAAGAAAAACUCGAAACAGAGUGGGAAUCGAACAAAGAAACCCAAACUAGGUACAUGACUUCUAAAACGGAAAAUAAAAGGAGAGGUAUUACCUUUUUCCAAGCAGCGACUGGAAUCGACGAGCUUGACUAUGAAGCAGCUUCCACACCAAAAGAAGAGAUGAACUUCGAGAAUUCUGAUGAACUUCGCUAAAAGCUUCGGAUGAGACAAAAGAGAAAUUCCAAGAAAUCUAGACCUAACUUUAUGGUUUUUGAUAAUAUCGAUACUAUAUUCAUCAAUUUAAAAUUACGACUUCCAAAAUUCCUCUUCUCUUUUCCCCCCACCCCCAUACUAAAGAAAAAUGGAGGUUUAUAUAAAGGGAAUUU